rnacentral:rRNA from 1 species
GUCGCAAGAACCAAAGGAGGGGGACCGUUCGGGCCUCUUGCCNUCGGAUGUGCCCAGAUGGGAUUAGCUAGUAGGUGGGGUAACGGCUCACCUAGGCGACGAUCCCUAGCUGGUCUGAGAGGAUGACCAGCCACACUGGAACUGAGACACGGUCCAGACUCCUACGGGAGGCAGCAUG